AACAAACGCUGGCGGCGUGCCUAACACAUGCAAGUCGUACGAGAAAGGGUCUUUCGGGACCUGAGUAAAGUGGCGCACGGGAGAGUAACGCGUGGAUAAUCUGCCCUUCAGUUGGGAAUAACUCAUCGAAAGGUGGGCUAAUACCGAAUAACGCUGUGAGACUUUGGUCGAUCAGCCAAAGAGAGCCUCUGCUUGCAUGCCCUCGCUGAAGGAUGAGUCCGCGUACCAUUAGCUAGUUGGUAGGGUAAUGGCCUACCAAGGCGACGAUGGUUAGCUGGUCUGAGAGGAUGAUUAGCCAAACUGGAACUGAGACACGGUCCAGACUCCUACGGGAGGCAGCAGUGAGGAAUCUUGCGCAAUGGGGGCAACCCUGACGCAGCAACGCCGCGUGAGUGAGGAAGGUCUUCGGAUCGUAAAGCUCUGUCGGAUGGAAAGAACCGCAUGGGGGUAAAUAGCCCCUGUGUCUGACGGUACCAUCAGAGGAAGCACCGGCUAACUCCGUGCCAGCCGCCGCGGUAA
rnacentral:rRNA from 1 species